UACGGAGGGGGCUGGCGUUGUUCGGGAUUACGGGGCGUAAAGCGCACGUAGGCGGAUCAGGAAGUCAGAGGUGAAAUCCCAGGGCUCAACCUUGGAACUGCCUUUGAAACUCCUGAUCUUGAGGUCGAGAGAGGUGAGUGGAAUUCCGAGUGUAGAGGUGAAAUUCGUAGAUAUUCGGAGGAACACCAGUGGCGAAGGCGGCUCACUGGCUCGAUACUGACGCUGAGGUGCGAAAGCGUGUGGAGCAAACAGG
rnacentral:rRNA from 1 species